rnacentral:rRNA from 1 species
AGAAUCAACGCUGGCGGCGUGCCUAACACAUGCAAGUCGAACGAGAAAGUGGAGCAAUCCAUGAGUAAAGUGGCGACCGGGUGAGUAACACGUGACUAACCUACCUUCGAGUGGGGGAUAACCUCGGGAAACCGGGGCUAAUACCGCAUAACAUCUUUGAAGUGGAAAUUUCGGAGAUCAAAGGAGCAAUUCGCUGGAAGAGGGGGUCGCGGCUGAUUAGCUAGUUGGCGGGUAACGCCCACAAGGCUUAGAUCGGUA